rnacentral:lncRNA from 1 species
UUCUUCACCCGAGUGCCGGGGAAGUAGUAAUUAGUGUCUGGGAGCUGCGCUCCUCCACUUCUCCCAGUGCCUCUGGCGAUUUCCAAGUGGGAUCUGCGACUUCAGGGCUCUGGCCAAGCCCGCAGGCUGGCGUGAUUAGUUGCUGUUGAAGGGGGCUCCGCCAAUGAAAUCUUCUCUGCGUUCUGAUUUGGCGGUUCUUCGGUGCAAAUAUGACAGCUUUCUCUCUCAGCUCUUUUCUGCAUCUCUCCAUGUCCGACCCCGGAGCCCAGUUCUCGGUCUGCAAUUUCUACACCACAACCUUUGCAAUCACCACCACCCCUAGGUCCCAUGUCAGCAGGUGCCAGGUUGCUACAAAGGUGACAGGGCACAUUGGGAAGAAGGCUUGUUGAUUGCAGAAGAUACUUAUGCCCCGUGUUUCCAGGUCGAUGCCUGUGUGUUCCAUCAGUUAAUGGGGAGUAGUAGUUAAGAGAGUGUACUAGUGAGGCGAUGGUGAGGUGGGAUUUUGCUGUCUAUCGAGGAAAAUAAAAGAUGUGAACUUCCUGUGUUCAG